AACGAACGCUGGCGGCGUGGUUGAUACAUGCAAGUCGAACGGGAAACGGGGCUUCGGCUCCGGAGUACAGUGGCGGACGGGUGAGUAACGUAUGACCAAUCUGCCCUCAAGACUAGGAUAGCCGUCCGAAAGACGGGUAAUACUGGAUAAGCCCACGGUGAGGCAUCUCACUGUGGGAAAAGGAUUGGGAUCUUCGGACCUUUCGCUUGAGGAUGAGAUCAUAACCUAUCAGUUUGUUGGCGGGGUAACGGCCCACCAAGACUACGACGGGUAGCCGGCCUGAGAGGGUGGACGGCCACACUGGAACUGAGACACGGUCCAGACUCCUACGGGAGGCAGCAGUGCUGAAUUAUUCGCCAAUGCGCGAAAGCGUGACGGUGCGACGCCGCGUGAGGGACGAAGGCCUUCGGGUUGUAAACCUCUGUCAGGGAUUAGAAAACCUAUAUGGUUAAUAGCCAUGUAGCUGAUCAGUCCCAAAGGAAGCACAGGCUAAUCUCGUGCCAGCCGCCGCGUAAAAC
rnacentral:rRNA from 1 species